ensembl:lncRNA
UGGUUUCCAGCCCGUUUUCAGUUGCAUUCCCAGAAGAUGCAUCUUUGUUUGCAUUUGACCCCUCACACGAUGAUUCUAAAUGUUCCAACUGCUUCGUUUUGUUGCCUGUUCGGGGGGGGGGGGGGGGGGGGGCACAUACUGUGUACGGUCUGAAUGCCAUGCUGUCGUUGGGCAUCUCAGCGAAGGAGGAAAUAAAUGAGCGUUGUCUUUUUUUUAACACCUGGGUGCUUCGAUGGUGUUCGAGCAUUCACAGCGUCAGAUCUUCAUUAUCCAGCUGACAAAAGCGGUAAAAGCGCAGCGGUGAACCGAAUCCCUCCGGAGUCUCUAUCGUCUCACAUUGCAAAGUGCACUGCACGUUUUCCCUCUGCUUAAACUGUCUGCUGUUGUGCGAAAAUAAAAGAUGAAGAAGUCUCAUGUGAACUUUUGGUGUGAUGUCGCCAUGCGGAGCCCAUUUGAUAGUCGUGCAUUUCAAUAGAUUCAAUCGCGUCAAAUAUUGUGGCUUUUAUUUUGAAUGAAAAGAAAGUUCCAGGCAGAGACAAAGCGCUCUAACAGCUUUAAUUACAAGUCCAUGAUCCUUAUUCCAUGAUUCAUGCAUUUUCCUUUUCAUUUGAAUUUAUUACACGCUAACUCAUGUAAUUGUGAAUUAAUUGCCGGGAUUUGACACCCUAAUUAAACACAACUCGGCGCUCUAAUUUUAAGAUGAAAGAAAAAGUGCGAUCCGCCCUUUGGAUCCGCUGCUUAGUGCAGUUAUUUUUCUUCAGUCGGUGAAACAUUUUAACAAUGAACAGAUUGCUAACUAACCGCUCAUUGUCUCUCAUCAGGGGGGUGAUGGACACUUUUUAGGCCCAAUCAACGAGGAUGCCAUGGGGUCAAAGGUAAGGGUUCAGCGCCGCUAAUGGACGGCGGCCGCGCCCCUUCCAGGCUGCUCACGACCCCUUUCGGCACAACAGGCUCGAUGUGGCUCAUAAUCUAAUAUCCUCCUGGGCUCCUGGGCAGGACUGAGGGGGAAAUGAAUUCCCCACAACAAACUGUCGUUGUUUUCCUCCUAUUUUUACACUGUGCUUGAGUGAGCACAGCCGAAAGCGGCUCCGGGUCCAUUUGCUGGUGCUCCAACUGCUGUUCGAGGCCACCAGAGAUUUAUGUCCACAAAAAGGAAAAAGAACGGGAAAAAAGGCGUCCUGGUCUGUUUAUUCGUUUGAAAUAAGGAGAGAUAAAAGGCAGGUGUGAAGGAGCUGCAUAAAACAUUUGUUUUAUGCAUUCUUGAAUCUGCUAAAUCUUUGCAAAACCAAAGGAGCUAAAUCAAAGAAAGACAAAAUAGAUGGUUUUCUCCAAACGUUACUCUGGAUCCGUAGGUUUGGUACAGACAGGCUUUCUUCAGCAGGACCAAUAAAAGGUAUUUGUCUGUACAUUAAACACUGCAGCUAAAGCUGUUGGCUCUUUUUAAGCUAUAGGUCUAUUCCACAAAACGCAGGAAUUCAUGAACGUGGAUACGGAUUUUCAUUGGAUGGAUGCCGCAUGAAAUUAUAAGCUUCUAAAAGGAAUUUUACCCUCUAAAUACUAAUUUUAUCACAAUCCGAGAGGUCCAGACUGUGUAAUUAGCAAAUCAAGUGUCUUACAACUGUUUCAGCGCGAAGGCCGCAUCAAAGCUCUCCUGAAAAGCAGAUGAGGUUUCCUCCGUCCUCAUCAAUUCCAGCCAAUUUGAAGAGAGAUGAAGGGCCCUCAGAGUUCUGUGACGCUGCCACACCUGGGUGCCUCCAAUCUUCUGCCAGACAUCAGACCGCGGCGGAGGGAAAAUACGGCCGAGCCAUCAUCAUCCCAAAGAGCUACUUGUUGCCGGAGCCCUUCACGGAAAAAAAGUCAAAUAUAAAUAUAUGUGUUGGCCUUUUGAAAGCAAAAACCUCUUUCACUCUGAACCACGAAUACAUAACAGCACUCCCAACUUUCACGGCUGCAUAUAAAUGAUUAAGCUGUGAUUUCAUCAGGAGACAUUAUAUAGUCCCAAUAUCAUCCGCAGAUGUCGUUCCCAGAAGUGCGAAAAGCCUCUCGUCAACGCCUGGUUCCCUCUGUCCGUUUUCUCCAUAGAAAUCGUUACUUUCAUCACACGGUGCUGUUUGCAGCGAGACCCAUGAACCGACCAAAACCAAUUACUUGUUAGUCCGUCUCGCAAUGCUUUCAGACUUCAGGUCUGUUUGUAGGAGCCUCAUGAAAGAUCGAGGACGUAGAAGUAAAACUUAAAUGAAAGUAGUUUUAGCAGAAUGUUCUUACAUUGCACAGAACAUCAACUCUUGAAGGACUCAAUGAGGUGCUACACUGUUAUAAAUGAUUAUUUCAUCACUGAUUCUUGAAUGCAUGUUGCAUUUCACUGUUCUGACAUAUUGGCUGUGGGGAAUCUCAUUUGAUCUUAUGCCGUCAUGGUGGAGUAAAACGUGCAACGAUUCCCUUUUAAAAGCUACAUGAAACGUUCCAAAAGAUGAAAAAUCCAAGAACAGCAUCGAGUUGAUGAAUCUCGUAGACGCGUUCCAACGACUUGUGAAGCCGUGAAGUCGCAGCUGCAAACACUCAUUUGUCAUUUAGCUCAACAUCAAGGCUGCCGUGUUGUUAUCAUCUUGUGUUCGUAGGUUAACAACGCUGGGAUACGGAAGCGCAGGAGGGCCCUUAAACAGCCCCAUAAGUCCUCUUUUUAUUGUUUUGUUUGCUGCACUGAGCUCAUCCGGCCUCGGGGGGAAGACGCGGGAGUCAAACAGCGCGGCUGAGCGUCGAAUCUGCAAAAUCAGUCACAGCUGUUCAGAUCCAAUGAGGCACCCUGAUGACUCCCGUUCCCGUGUCAACGCCGGCCAAUGAUGCUGCGCAGCCUCUUUGUCGAAUCUAAUUUGCGUUUAAAAAUAAUAACUCAAAGCCCCGAGGCGCAGUGUGAAUUCGGUGACAAUUACUUAUGCGUGAGAACAGGACGCUGCUUAUUAUCUUAUAAUGCCACUGUUUCAUGUGUCAACGUCCACACGGCCACACUGGAGAGUAACGGCGUAAAGACAACGAGGAUUAUUGAGUAAAUAAGCAUUAGUUGGAUGUUAUUGGACUCGAUAUGGAACAUUCUUAGUAUCGACACGGAUGCCUCCAUAUGAGAAAAGUCUGUGAUUUUUAGGUUACGAGGUCAUAAAGAGGAUCUAAGCUGUUUGUGAUUAGGGUUAGUUGUUUUUUUUGGCACGAGAUUCAAAACCCACAGCCUCUUUAAUUGGGAUGAAAUGAUUCUCUACUGAUUCUGGAAUCGACUACGUGACAAUCAGUGUUACUUAACGUUUUAAUCACGGGUAAAUUGUUACACUGAAUCGCUGCUUUGUACCAAACAUGGCCCCGAGUCUUGGCUGCUUUAAUAAAGGGUUUAAAAGGGAAAACAAAUUGUGUUUGCAACCAAACAAAACUCUGUAUGAAUGACAAAUACCCAACUUGAAUUCAACCUGCACCCCUUAAAAUGCACUGUAACUUCAGAUCAUUAAGACUUCAUUGCCAGCUGAGCUUUGUUUGCAAGCAAAGCGCCACUUUACAUCCGUUGGACAUAAUUUAGGAUGAUUGACAGCUGUUUUGGGACGAAUCACAUGAGUCACGGAUCGCAGAGGAAAGGAGCAAAUGUGUGAUGGCAGACACAGACUUCAGACUCAGGUAGUCAAAUAUAUCCUUUCACAUUACUGAGAAUAUGGAGAACUAUUUAAGAACAACAACUUCCGCUGCAUAGAAUCCAACUAAUGCUUAUUUACGUGGUAUUCCUUGUUGGCGGGUAACAGCGCUAACGUUGACACAUAAAACAGUGGCAUCAUGAGAUAAUAAGUGACACCUCCUUGUGAGCACUCUCCCAAUUAAUCAUCCCCAAAACUCACACUGAGCCUCAGGCUUUGAGGUGCUAAAUGUGAAUUAGGAUCUGACAAAAACACUGUGCCACAUUAUUAUGAUCAUUAAAUGAUGUCACACGUCUUCGGCGGCACGUUUAUUUUGUAAAUGACUGCUAGUUGUCAGGUGCGAGGACGCACGCGGGACGAGAUUACGGUACCGUAUUUUCCGCACUACGAGGCGCACCUUCAAUGAAUGACCUAUUUUAGAACAUUUUUCAUAUAUAAGGCGCACCGGAUUAUGAGGCGCAUAAGAUACUGCAGUCGAACGUUCGCCACGUCAAAGUGUCCCUGAGCAAGACAGUCAACCCCUAACUGCUCCCCGUGAAAACCAUGGGUUAAAAAUGCAACGUAAGUCGCAUUGGACGAAAGCAUCGUAGUGUCCUAAU